GGGAACAGAGGCAGCACACUUCAGAUUGUAACAUAAUUAAAUUUGAGGAACUCACAAAUUUAGUUUUCACAUUUUUUUCUAUUCAUUCUCAUAUUUUUUAUAAACUUGAUCAAACUUAAUUAUGUCUGAUUUAGGAAAAAAAAGUAAAUAUGACAUGUAAAAAAUAGUGAGACUAUUGUACAGCCCUCAGUAAGGUUGAGACCGUGUGACAAGUCUAUCCCCGCGUUAUAUGUUAAAUGGAAGGAGUGCAAGCCACUUACUAGUGGUAGUUGAUUACUAUACCGUUGCAACAUGCAAGGACUCAAAUUUCCGGACUCUUAGUGAAAGAAGAGAUAUAUGAAAAAAGUAGGAUAGUGUAUUGAUUUUCAAGCUGAAGUUUCCUGAGAUCCCACAAUGGCGACUGGCGAGCAUGAAUAGAAAAAAAUGUGAAAAUUAAUUUAGUUCCCAGGUUGCUUGAAUUUGGUUUAUUACGAUCUGAAGUAUAUAUGCUGCCUCAUUCUCUUUUGAAAAAAAAACAGUGCUGCUGUGUGGAAGCAGCUUGCGGUCUCUUUCGACAAACAAUACUUGAUCCAAUGAUUGUCCAACUAACUCUUAAAUAUUUGGACUGAAAGAAUGAUCAUUACUCCCUCCCUCUCUUUUUAUAGGAUGUAUUUUAUUUCGUUAGAACAAUACUUAUACUACCA
rnacentral:lncRNA from 1 species